CACGCCCCAGUGCGCUGUGGGAUAGUGCCUCUAUAAAGUAUACCCUCUCUCGGAGCACGAUAAGAAGCCCGAGACAGGAGGGGGAUGAAGAUGGCGGACGCCAAACAGAAAAGGAAUGAACAGUUAAAGCGAUGGCUGGGCUCGGAGACGGACCAGGAGCCUCCUGUUCUGAAAAAGAAGAAGACGAAGGUGAAGUUCGAUGAUGGCGCCGUGUUUCUGGCCGCCUGCUCAAGCGGUGAUACCGAGGAGGUGCUCCGUCUGCUUGACCGGGGCGCUGAUAUCAACUACGCCAAUGUAGACGGUCUUACUGCGCUCCACCAGGCUUGCAUAGAUGACAACAUUGACAUGGUGACGUUCCUGGUGGAACACGGAGCCAGCGUGAACCAGCCUGACAAUGAGGGAUGGAUCCCCCUCCAUGCUGCAGCUUCCUGUGGAUACCUAGACAUAGCAGAGUAUCUGAUCAGCCAAGGUGCUAAUGUUGGAGUUGUGAACAGUGAGGGGGAGACGCCUCUGGACAUCGCUGAGGAGGAACCAAUGGAGGAACUUCUACAAAAUGAGAUUAACCGACAAGGGUUGGACAUAGAGGCUGCCCGAAAAGAGGAGGAGCGCAUCAUGCUGAGAGAUGCUCGGCAAUGGCUGAACAGCGGUCAGAUUCAAGACACCCGGCACGCGAAGUCGGGAGGAACGGCGCUCCAUGUAGCCGCUGCCAAAGGAUACGUGGAGGUUUUAAAGCUUUUAAUCCAAGCAGGUUAUGACAUAAAUAUUAAGGACUAUGAUGGCUGGACGCCUCUCCACGCAGCGGCACACUGGGGCAAAGAGGAGGCGUGUAGAAUACUCGUGGAGAAUCUGUGCAACAUGGAGCUUGUUAAUAAAAUGGGCCAGACUGCUUUUGAUGUAGCUGAUGAAGAUGUUCUGGGAUAUUUAGAAGAGCUACAAAAGAAACAAAACCUGCUGAUGAGGGAGAAGAAGGAUGCUAAAAAGUCUCCUUUGAUUGAGGUGACAACCACAGGGGACAACAACCAGUCACUGAAACCACUCAAAAGCAAAGAAACGCUGCUUCUGGAGCCGGAAAAGACUGCGCCGCGCAUCGAGACCUUAGAACCGGAGAAGGUGGACGAAGAGGAAGAGGGGAAGAAGGACGAAUCAAGCUGCUCGAGUGAGGAUGAGGACGAGGAAGAUUCAGAGUCUGAAACUGAAGCAGACAAGAGCAAGCCUCCAGCAGCGGUGACCAGUAGCACGACGACGACAACGACCCCGGCCACCGUCAGCACGUCGUCUCCAACGAGUCCAACAAAUCAGGUGACGACGCCCACUUCACCAGUUAAGAAGGUCGUUCAGCCUGCCGGAAAGGUCUCGACCAAAGUGGAGGAGGACAGGAAGGACGAGUCUCCGGCUUCGUGGCGUCUGGGUUUGAGGAAGACAGGCAGCUACGGCGCGCUCUCUGAGAUCACAGCCACAAAGGAGGCUCAGAGGGAAAAGGACACUACAGGUGUGAUGCGAUCGGCCUCCAGCCCUCGCCUCACCUCAUCCCUGGACAACAAAGAAAAAGAAAAGGAGAAAGACAAAGGAACCCGACUUGCGUAUGUGGCCCCAACCAUCCCCAGGAGACUUGCCAGUACUUCAGACAUCGACGAGAAGGAAAACAGGGACUCUACAGCUCUGAUACGUAGCGGCUCAUACACCCGGCGACGCUGGGACGACGACCUGAAGAACAGCGAAGGAAGCUCCUCCACCAACCGGACCUCCAGCUACCAGCGCAGUACGUCCCAUACGCUAGCGCUGGGGCGGAGCGGCAGCACGCGGGACGUGCCAGCCAAGUCUUCGUCCACCUCCAGCUUGGAUCCUAACACCUGUAAUACUAAACCCUGGCAGCCACCCUCCUCCCACUACCCGUCCUACAGCAUUUACCGCAGCGGCUCUUUCGGCAGAAGACACGAGGACCUGAGCUCCUCCACAACCACCACCACCUCUUCGUCUGUUACCUCGCCCACUGGCCACCGCGGCCUCCUCUCCAGCCUGGGGUCCUCUUCCACCCGAACUGGCUCCACCAGUCUCACCAGCAGGUACUGGUCAGAGGAGAGUGCAGAGAGGGAAAAGGAGAAGGAAAAGGACUCGGCUGCUGUUAUCCCCACUAUAAACACUGGCUCUACCACAACCACCACGUCUACCACUACCACCACCGCCAUAUCCACCACUACCGCCCUCACUGGCAUCGGCAUCGGCACCGGCCCAGAACGACGCAGGUCGUACCUGACACCGGUGAGAGACGAGGAGUCGGAGUCUCAGAGGAAAGCUCGAUCCAGACAGGCCCGGCAGUCGAGGCGCUCCACCCAGGGUGUGACUCUUACUGACCUUCAAGAGGCUGAGAAAACAAUUGGCAGGAGUCGUCCCCAAAAGACCCACGAAGAGGAAAAGGAGGAGAAAGAGAAGCAAGACAAGGAGAAACAGGAGGAGAAGAAGGAGACGGAGACCAAAGAGGAUGAUUACCGAUCGAAGUACCGGAGCUUUGAAGAGCGUUAUCGGCCUUCGUCUUCGUCCUCCUCCUCUUCCAUUUCCACCGUCAGCACUGCCUCCACUGCUCCCUACUCCAGCUCUUCUUUGUCCUCGGGGUCCAGCGCCCUCAACAGGCCCAACAGUCUGACAGGGAUCACCUCAUCUUACAGCAGGUCCUCUCGAGACACAGAAAAAGAAUCAGACAAAAAGGAUGAGGAGAAGGAAGGCGAGGACAAGUCUCAGCCCCGCUCCAUACGGGAUCGCAGGCGGCCCCGGGAGAAGAGACGCUCCACUGGGGUGUCCUUCUGGACUCAAGAUGGUGGAGAUGAUGACCCUGAGCAGCAGUCGGACUCGGAGGAGGGCAGCACCCGGGGAGAACCACAGAGUGACAGAUUGUCCAGAAAUGAGAGCACUUCAUAUUUAGAUCGCAACGAUGCUCUUUUUAGCCGUAGUUAUGGUGAGAGUCGAAGGCCGUACUCCAGCCGACUGGAUAGAGACGACACCACCGACUACAAAAAGCUCUAUGAACAGAUCUUAGCUGAGAACGAGAAGCUGAAGGCCCAGUUACGCGACACUGACCUGGAGCUGGCAGACUUGAAGUUACAGUUAGAGAAAGCUACACAGAGGCAGGAACGCUAUGCUGACCGAUCCCAGCUUGAGAUGGAGAAAAGGGAAAGAAGAGCUCUAGAAAGGAAGAUUUCUGAGAUGGAGGAGGAACUCAAGAACCUCCCCCAGGUAAAGCAGGUUCAGGCCCUGCGGCAAGUUAAGGAGCGGCUGCAGGCUGAGAACCGGGCGCUGGCCCGCGUUGUGGCCAAGCUCUCCCAGUCGGCCUGCAGCCAGCUGCCCACCGGCGACCUCUAGGCCUCGUCUGUCUGUCCACCAUCUCCUCCUUCUGUCUUCUUCUUCCUCCUUUUUUGCCUUCUUUCUUCUCAUGCUCCAUUUGUGCACUGCCCCGCACCCGUAGACAGAUGCUCCCAGACUUGAAAGCAGACAACCAGAGACUAAAGGACGAGAACGGAGCGCUCAUUCGAGUCAUUAGCAAGCUUUCCAAGUAGAAACCGACCCCCCCGCCCCACCUUGCCCUGCCCGGUCUUCUGCACCCGCUAGUCCCCCCAUGGCAGCGACUAAUGGAAUUGCACAUUUAGAUAUUAAUUGCAACAGACAUCAGAGACGAGACUCCUCCUUUUGCUUUCUGUUCCUCCCGGCUCUCCCUUUUUGCUCCUCCACCACCACCACUGCAGCAUCCAUCCAUCCAUCCAUCCAUCCAUCCAUCCGUUCAUCCAUCCUCCUGGGCUGUGGUUCUCUUGAUUGGUGUGGCUGCUGCUCUGACAGAAGUGCUGAGUUUACAGAGCAAAAAGGAAGGAAGGGUUGUGUGAGAGCGAUGUGGGCGGGGAAGCCUGAAAACUAUUUAACCAAUAAGCCUUAGUUGUACAUAAAAAGAAAAAAGAACACUUGCAUUGAUCUCCUCUCUCAGCUAUCACUGAAGAACAGAUAUUAUCCUUCACCUGAUUUUUACUUGUGCCACAUUCUUUUUUUUUUUUCUUUUGUUUUGCUUCCUUUUCCUCUAAACGUGUUGUGUGCUGUGCGGUUCCCACCUUCACUCCUCCAUCUUUUUUUUUUUUUAUAAGAGCUACUUCCGCCUGAUAACUGCUCCCUGUGGCUUCUCUUACCUAAUUUAUCCUGAUUAGUUGUUUUCCUCCCCUCUCUUAAGCACACACCUCCGCCCCUCCCCCCGUCCCUCUCUGCGUCUUCCUCCAAGAGGGAAACAUUCGAAUUCUCGCAGAUCUGGUGGAGUUUAAGCUUUCACUGUAUGUGCAAUAUGCAUUUUAUUUUUUCUUUUUGUUUUCUUCUUAAAAAUGCUUUAAUGAGUCCAUCACAAGUAGGAUUUUCACUCCUGAUGCUUCAGUCUCUCUCUCUCUCUCUCUCUUUCUGCUCCUUUUUUUCCUUUUUAUUUUAAGUUCGUAGUCGGUUUAUACUCUGUAUUUCUCACUUUGUUUUAGCAGGUACUGAGUGAUUCUGUAUAUACCUGUAUGUAUUUUGUUUGAGAGCAGCACAUGGCAUGCGUUUAUGGAUCCCGUCUGUUACUAUUAAAAGUAUACAAAUUCCAGAGGACAAAGAGGUGUGUUUUAAUUAUUUUGCUUUUAUAGUUUGAGGACAUUGGACACAGUAAAGCCUCUCUUAAACGGGACGGCUUCUUUUUUUUUUUUUUUCCUUUUUUUUUGUUUUUUGUUUUUUGGUUCACAUAAUAGUGAAAUCUAAAGAGUAAUCGCUUCACUACAUUUCACUUUAAUUGUAUUCAGUAUCUUGGACGAGUGCUGUUAAUUUUGUUUCCCAUUCUUUUUAAAAAGCUGUAGUAUUAUAGGCAAGGUAUUGUCACUAAAAUAAAAUAAAAUGUUUGAAAAAAAUAAAUAAAAUAAAAGGAUAUCUAGAUAUUGCUAAUCCAGUCCUUUCUACAAUGUCUACAUGCACUGUCGAUGCCAUGUGAGGAGUCUUGUGGGUUUGAAGCGAAACGCCACCAUCAGCUGUUCCACUCAACAUUUUAUGCAUUUCAGUGGCCUUUUAAGGAAGUUUUAGUCCAAUAAGUUUAAAGAAGGAUCACUGCAGAUGGACUGAUUGCUGUCUGCACUGGUAUAGGCUUUUUCCCCCCUUUUUUUCCUGUCAUAUUGUAAAAUAGGUGUGUGGCUUAAUACAUGCAAGCUGUGCUGUGACUACCAACCACUGAAGAGUUCAUUAAAAAUAAACUUGUACAUUGGAAA